rfam:TPA: Bos taurus chromosome 1, whole genome shotgun sequence.
UCCCUGGUGGUCCAGUGGUUAGGACUCUGUGCUCUCACUGCAGAGAUCUGGGUUCAAUCUCUGGUUGGGGAA